rnacentral:rRNA from 1 species
AUUGAACGCUAGCGGGAUGCCUUACACAUGCAAGUCGAACGGCAGCACGGACUUCGGUCUGGUGGCGAGUGGCGAACGGGUGAGUAAUGUAUCGGAACGUGCCCAGUAGCGGGGGAUAACUACGCGAAAGCGUAGCUAAUACCGCAUACGCCCUACGGGGGAAAGCAGGGGAUCGCAAGACCUUGCACUAUUGGAGCGGCCGAUAUCGGAUUAGCUAGUUGGUGGGGUAACGGCUCACCAAGGCGACGAUCCGUAGCUGGUUUGAGAGGACGACCAGCCACACUGGGACUGAGACACGGCCCAGACUCCUACGGGAGGCAGCAGUGGGGAAUUUUGGACAAUGGGGGAAACCCUGAUCCAGCCAUCCCGCGUGUGCGAUGAAGGCCUUCGGGUUGUAAAGCACUUUUGGCAGGAAAGAAACGUCGUGGGUUAAUACCCCGCGAAACUGACGGUACCUGCAGAAUAAGCACCGGCUAACUACGUG